rnacentral:misc_RNA from 1 species
AAGUCGUAACAAGGUCUCCGUUGGUGAACCAGCGGAGGGAUCAUUAUCGAGUUGCAAAACUCCCACCAUUGCGUACUGACUGUGCCCACUGCUUCGGCGGAGCCUCCCUGGAAGCGCCGCCGAACACCCCUAAACUAUGAAGUAUUGGCAUCUCUGAGGCACUUAUUCAAUAAGUCACAACUUUCAACAACGGAUCUCUUGGCUCUG